CCGAUUAAUUAUAAUGCAUUAUCGGUUUUGCAAGGUUUUUAGAGAGGCGUUGGGGUGGAUUUUGGCAGCAUCCGCAUCUGGAGGAUCUGUGCUUUGCUUUGACGCCACUGUACGAAGAGAUGGUCUCUGGACCCAAGUCAAAAAUCGGGCACGAGUCGGCCAAUGACAGUGCCACGUGCAGCGUUUGUUUGGUGGCUCCUCGCAGUGGCUCCGGCAAGACUCGGUGGCGAGCACGAGUUCUUCAUUCGGGCCGAAGCCUGUUCCAGCGGGCCGCCGAGAGGCGCCAGUCUGCGCGUGCGUGGACAAGUGCCGCGUCGUUCUCACGCGAAUACCUGAGCUGGAAGCCCUGACGAAGAACACGCCGUCGGUGCGGCGGCCCCAUGAGGCCACCGAGGCAGACCUCGGCAAGACCCUCAACCGCACCAGGCCGAAGAGAAAUUUAAUUCAGGAGACCGAGGAAUUUGUUUAAAUAAUGUCGCUUUUAUUUUUAUUCAGGAUUGAGCCUUCUGUGGAGCAAGACCUGCAGUAUGUCUUGAAGACUGAACCAAAGCUCAGCAAUUAUUAUUUAAUUUUAUGAAUUUCUUAAACAAAAGACAAAAAUAAUUCGUAAUAACCUAGGAUGUUACGUGUUAAUUAUUUUAUUUGUCUUUCAAUGUGUUCAAACAUGCAUAAUCAUCAUAAGAGCUGGUUUCAUCGUCUCGAGCAAGUUUUUCUCUGGCUCCGAAUGUCGGUAAAGUCAGGAAUUAAUUAAAAAUUUGAAUUUUUGGCUGCAGAUCGAUCUCGCCGCUCUUGGCCUGCCUGCUCCUCCUGAAAACAUGCCAGACAUUGACUUUCUGACGCCGUGUUCGCAGAUGUUCUCGUUCGGACUCACUUCUUUUCCCACUCUCCCAAAAUCAACUCCUCACGUCGACCUCUUUGAUAAGUGACUAGAAAAUGACGUCACAAAGUUACGCCCCCCAAAACACCGAAUAUGGCGGCCAUAAGCCUGUUUUAAAGUGACCGACGUGACACCAACGGUUGGGUUGGGAAGCUCUAAGCGGGAACAAGUUCGGCCCUUAAGAGUGGUAGCCCCCUGGCCGGUCGUCAACGUCAACAGGUUCGGCUACGGACACGGACUCUGACGGACGGAUGGAGGCGCUGCCCGACCAGCGGGAGGUACCUGCCACCUGCGCGCCGUGGCCCGCACAGGCGGCCGAGUCGACUCGCUGUUGCCGAGGACCAGCAACAAGCCGCUCUUCCAGCGCAAACGGGCACUCGUGCUGGACGCCUUCAUUCUCAACCCAGAUUCCGAGUCGCCGGACGCGUUCGAC